GUUUUUACUGUAUUUUUGAUCAAGUAAAUGCAGCCUUGCUGAGACUUCUUUCAAAAAUCUUUUAUAUAAUCUUAUGUUAUACAGAAACAAUUUACAUAUAUUUUUAAUGUCUAGUUCAUCCAUAAAAUAAUUUUAACAUUAAAAAUGUGUAAAUCAUCCUUUUAGCAAUAAGACUACUGUUCCAGAUGGAACUGUAGCCCUAUUAAUACACAAAGAAUAAAGCAUAAUUUGUCUGAACAAAAUUUCAUAUAUUUAUAGUGUCAUAUAUAAAAAGAUAAAUAUGCACACACACACACACUGCUAGCUAGUGGGUGAAAAAAAAUCAUACAUCAAAAGUAACAUAAAAUAAAUAAAUAAAAAGAAAUGGGCCUACAGCGCUCCUUAUCAGGCAUCAUGAUAAGCACAGUUGUUAUUUAUUAAUAAGUUCUUUAUUAUGGCGAGUUUCCCCCGAAUCUUGACCCUGACUGACCCCUAUGAUGUCACUCGUCACCUGGUCAGUGUCUGUCAGUCAGUUACUCCGACGUCGAAGAUGUCUGACAAGAAACGAAAAUAUCUUUUUGGCCAUGAAAAACGACAAAAGAAGAGAAGCAAGAAGUUAAAGUAUCCAGGUAAUCCCCAGAAAGUCUCCAGUGGACUUUCCCAUUCAUUUCCCGGGACAGGGUGACAACAAGAGUGAUGAUAUUCCCUCUAAAACCCACUUUCAACAUGAGGAGGAAAAAGCGCCAUUACCCAUGACAUCUUUCAGUUUCCCCUCUGCUUCUCUCCCUCUGUUGGAGUCAGAGGGGAACUGAAACUGAAAAUAAGGCUGAUAGAAAGAAAUAGGGUGCUUCUCUCCCUCUGUUGGAGUCAGAGGGGAACUGAAACUGAAAAUAAAGGACUGAUAGAAGAAAUAAGGUAGGAAAUGGAGAAGAGGAGAGAGAGGGUGCGGUAUGCUGCAGUACAUAAACAUGAGAGCAGCUGGUGAUCUCAGCUGGAGAUCUGCAACCCCAAUCACAGCACAGACUGUUCACUUCACUGUCUGCCAUCACUGACGGCCUUCCAGCUCACUAAACUCAACCGAUACCGCAGGUGUUUCAUAGCUGCUUUUAGACAUGUAAACACUCCUGUAGCCCUCGUGUUAAAUUACUUAUCUGUAACUCUAGUGUCAGUGUAGACAGCUUUGUUGACUGUAAUGUGAUGAGCUCUGUUGCAUCAUUAUGUCUUUAAAGGAAAUUUCUGGAUCGCUACAUUCAUAAAAAUGCAAAUGCAGUAAUGCAUUUACAAUGAAAGUCUAAGGGGAAAAGCACUGCACCUAAAUAACAUUAAAAUACCAGUUUCCUAAAGUAUGAGUGUGAUAAAUUUACUCACAAACCUUGCAAAGUUAAAUGCAUUGUUUCAGCUGAACAUGAACAUGUAAAGACAGUAGGUAACCUAGAUGUUACAGCAUCUGUGCAAACUUACCUGCAGUAAAUCAUGAUGUUUCCUCUCACUCUGAACCUGAUGAAUCAGCAGCUUCACUUUUGUGUAUUUAUACUUAAGAACAGACCCAGAGCUGUUGAAAAGUCUUAUAAAAAGCUAAGAAUUCAGUCAUUUGGAAUAUGUGCUAAUAAAAAGACGAGUGAUUUAUUUUAAAUAGUUGCACUUUGGGUUCCCUUGCUGGGUUUCCUUUUUUCUCCUCACUCUGGGAGAAAGCGACCUUCAACGGCCAGUUGCUGACAACAUAGCUAUUCCAAUGUGGCUAUAAUGGAAUCAUCUAGUUGGGAAUUAGAGACAACCCCAUAACCCAGACGCUUUUGCCUAUGAGUUUUAGAAAGCAUUUGAGUAUUUAGGACAUUUUCCACUUUGUGUCGGUGGGCAAAAGUAACAAAACCAGACCCACAAGAGAAGCUGG
rnacentral:lncRNA from 1 species